CGAGAAUUUUUCACAAUGGGGGCAACCCUGAUGGAGCGACGCCGCGUGGAGGACGAAGGUCUUCGGAUUGUAAACUCCUGUCAUGCGGGAACAAGAAAGUGAUAGUACCGCAAGAGGAAGAGACGGCUAACUCUGUGCCAGCAGCCGCGGUAAUACAGAGGUCUCAAGCGUUGUUCGGAUUCAUUGGGCGUAAAGGGUGCGUAGGUGGCGAUGUAAGUCUGGUGUGAAAUCUCGGGGCUCAACCUCGAAAUUGCAUUGGAUACUGCGUUGCUAGAGGAUUGUAGAGGAGAGUGGAAUUCACGGUGUAGCAGUGAAAUGCGUAGAUAUCGUGAGGAAGACCAGUUGCGAAGGCGACUCUCUGGGCAAUUCCUGACACUGAGGCACGAAGGCUAGGGGAGCAAA
rnacentral:rRNA from 1 species